GUCGAACGAUGAAGACCGUGCUUGCACGGUCGGAUUAGUGGCGAACGGGUGAGUAUCACGUGAGUAACCUUCCCUUAACUCUGGGAUAAGCCCGGGAAACUGGGUCUAAUACCGGAUACGACCAGUCCUCGCAUGGGGUGCUGGUGGAAAGAUUUAUCGGUUUUGGAUGGACUCGCGGCCUAUCAGCUUGUUGGUGAGGUAAUGGCUCACCAAGGCGAUGACGGGUAGCCGGCCUGAGAGGGUGACCGGCCACACUGGGACUGAGACACGGCCCAGACUCCUACGGGAGGCAGCAGUGGGGAAUAUUGCACAAUGGGCGAAAGCCUGAUGCAGCGACGCCGCGUGCGGAAUGACGGCCUUCGGGUUGUAAACCGCUUUCAGCAGGGAAGAAGCGAAAGUGACGGUACCUGCAGAAGAAGCGCCGGCUAACUACGUGCCAGCAGCCGCGGUAAUACGUAGGGCGCGAGCGUUAUCCGGAAUUAUUGGGCGUAAAGAGCUCGUAGGCGGUUUGUCACGUCUGCUGUGAAAGCCCGGGGCUCA
rnacentral:rRNA from 1 species